rnacentral:rRNA from 1 species
CCCAAGGUCUGGGAUAACCCCGGGAAACUGGGGAUAAACCGGAUAGGCCAAUACGUCUGGAAUGUGUGUUGGCUUAAAGGCAACGCCUUUGGAUGGGUCUGCGGCGGAUUAGGUAGAGCCGGUGUAACGUACCGGCGUGCCUGUAAUCCGUACGGGUUGUGGGAGCAAGAGCCCGGAGAUGGAUUCUGAGACAGAAUCCAGGCCCUACGGGGCGCAGCAGGCGCGAAAACUUACAAUGCAGGCAACUGCGAUAGGGGGACAUCGAGUGGCACCCACCUUGGGUGUCUGUCCAACCGUGUAAAAAACGGUUGUUAGCAAGGGCCGGGUAAGACCGGUGCCAGCCGCCGCGGUAAUACCGGCGGCUCGAGUGGUGGCCGAUAUUAUUGAGUCUAAAGGGUCCGUAGCCGGCUUUGCAAGUCCUCUGGGAAAUCCAGCGGCUUAACCGUUGGGCUUCCAUGGGAAACUACAUUGCUUGGGACUGGGAGAGGUAGGAGGUACUGAGGGGUAGGGGUGAAAUCCUGUAAUCCUUCGGGGACCACCGGUGGCGAAGGCGUCCUACCAGAACAGGUCCGACGGUGAGGGACGAAAGCUAGGUGCACGAACCGGAUUAGAUACCCGGGUAGUCCAGCCGUAAACGAUGCCCGCUAGGUGUCANGGCGGUCGUGAAUCGUGGUGCCGGGGAAGCCGCGAAGCGGGCCACUUGGGAAGUACGGCCGCAAGGCUGAAACUUAAAGGAAUUGGCGGGGGAGCAC